rnacentral:lncRNA from 1 species
UGACAAGCAGCUCAAGCACUGAAGUGGGGAAACUCUCCCAGCUUCUCCCAAGGACCUGGGAAGACACACCGAAUUUGCUGCAAUAGAAAAGCUGUUGGCCAAAGUACAAGCCUGAAGAAAAUAACACACCUUGCCAGUGGACAAGGAGGAUGGUGGGAGUAAAGGCCUUAUGAAGAUUCAGCUGAAAGACUCUGGAUGCUAGAGGCUGAUACCAUGUGGCAGGAGCCAGGAGCCAGUGUAGCUGCGAGGAAAGGGACCCACAGAGACUGCGCCAGCUUAUCUCACCUGUGCAGAGGCUGACAAGUACAUUCCCUGUUUGAUGGGCUAAUUAUGGAAGCAUACUGGAGUCGUCGUAGUUAAGUUUGUAACUAGCUUUGAGUUGUAAGGCCAGUUUUGAAGUCUUGUCUAACUAUUCUGGAAUAAAUCCCUGCAAGAGAAACUUAAGUUAUAUGGA